rnacentral:rRNA from 1 species
UACGUAGGAUGCAAGCGUUGUCCGGAAUUAUUGGGCGUAAAGAGCGAGCAGGCGGUUACUCAAGUCAGAUGUAAAAUAUCCCGGCUUAACCGGGAGGGGCCAUUUGAAACUGGGUAACUAGAGUGAAGCAGAGGAUAGCGGAAUUCCCGGUGUAGUGGUGAAAUGCGUAGAUAUCGGGAGGAACACCAGUGGCGAAGGCGGUUGCCUGGGGCUUUGCUGACGCUGAUGCGCGAAAGCGUGGGGAGCGAUCCGG